rnacentral:rRNA from 1 species
UACGGGGGGGGCAAGCGUUGUUCGGAAUUACUGGGCGUAAAGGGCUCGUAGGCGGCCAACUAAGUCCGACGUGAAAUCCCCAGGCUUAACCUGGGAACUGCGUCGGAUACUGGAUGGCUUGAAUCCGGGAGAGGGAUGCGGAAUUCCAGGUGUAGCGGUGAAAUGCGUAGAUAUCUGGAGGAACACCGGUGGCGAAGGCGGCAUCCUGGACCAACAUUGACGCUGAGGAGCGAAAGCCAGGGGAGCAAACGGG